AUUUUUCUAUAAGUAUUUAAACUAAUUUGUAUAAUUUUUCUAUAAGUAUUUAACUAAUUUGUACUAAUUUCUCUAAGUAUUUAAACUAAUUUGUAUAAUUUUCCUAGGUAUUUAAACUACUAAUUUGUACUAAUUUUUCUAAGUAUUUAAACUAAUUUGUACAACUUUUCUAAGUAUUUAAACUAGUUUGUACUAAUUUUCUAAGUAUUAAAAGUAAUUAUACAAAUUACACAUUAAAAAUAGUAAAAAAAAAUAGCGCAUGCAGUAGCAAGCCCCGUUUGUUGGGGCGGCCUAGGGGCGCGCCCGUACUGGCAAGCGGGCGGACGGCGAGGUGGGCACGGAUGGCAGGAUGGCGACCAGGUGUAACAACCUAGCUUAAUUAAGCCAUGUUUAAAACCUAAAUAAACUCAUUAGCUCAUAAAGGAGAACUUUGACAGUAGUAAAGGCAAGUGAAAGGUCACUUUUGCCCUCCCAAGAUAAACCGUUGUUUAAAUAGUAACUAUUUCUCCUUAAAAACAUAAAAAUCUGUCCAACUAAGAGUUGUAGAACUCAACUUUCCUGACAACUUUUAGUUUUGGUGUUUUGCUUGAAUCUAAGCAGAAGCCCUUCAAAAACUUAAAGUACAAAUCUAUGUUAAUUUUAAGAAGAACAGAUUAAGUCCUGGCUUUGGGGCUCUGUAUUUUGAAAUUUCUAAUAGAAACUCAAGCUGAGCUCUAUAACAAAGUUUUAGACCUUCGAGACCUUAACAACUUUGAUUUAAGAAGUAAGUUCUAAUAUGCCUCGAAAGCCUUCAAAACCCCGGUCAAAGCCAACUAGUUC
rnacentral:lncRNA from 1 species